rnacentral:SRP_RNA from 1 species
GCUGGGCGUGGUGGCGGGCGCCUGUAAUCUCAGCUACUCAGGAGGCUGAGGCAGGAGAAUUGCUUGAACCCGGGAGGUGGAGGUUGCAGUGAUCCAAGAUUGCGCCACUGCACUCCAGCCUGGGCAACAGAGCAAGACUCUGUCUCAA